rnacentral:rRNA from 1 species
UACGUAGGGGGCAAGCGUUGUCCGGAUUUAUUGGACGUAAAGAGCGUGUAGGCGGUCAGGUAGGUCCGUUGUGAAAACUCGAGGCUCAACCUCGAGCUGUCGGUGGAAACCGUGUGGCUAGAGUCCGGAAGAGGAGAGUGGAAUUCCCCGGUGUAGCGGUGAAAUGCGCAGAUAUCGGGAAGAACACCCGUGGCGAAGGCGGCUCUCUGGGACGGUACUGACGCUGAGACGCGAAAGCGUGGGGGAGCGAACCGG